rnacentral:lncRNA from 1 species
GAUUUCAUUUUCCUCACAAAAGGAUUAAGGGUUUUAUUUUCCUCAGCUGAAGCACAAAAUGAGCGAGAUUCUUCGUUCACGUCCAUUUCAUCGGGCUUGGGUGUCAGGAUCUAUAUUUAUCUGUGUUAGCAUGUGGCCAAGGAGCUGGAAGUCUUUGGAUGUCAGUGGCUUUCAGAUGUCAGGAUAACCUUAAAGACACGUGAGUGGUCGAGCUCCCGUGCCCCGCUUCUGAGUUCUCAGCUGCUGUGCUGUGGAGACAUGUGUUUGUUUUCUGAGUCUCCUACAACCCUGCCUCUGAAGCCAGUCUCAAGAUCCCACAGAUGUCUGGGCCAGCAGGCUCCUCCAAAAGCUGCUUGGUCUCUUGGGGGAGAAGACCUCCAGUUUCUGUGAGCCCCAUCCUUUGAAGAGCUGCUCCGUCCAAAGUUACGUCUCAGCAGAUGCAGACAGGCAAUGACAAUGCGGGACGACGUGAGCCGUGAUGAGGGGCAUGUACUGCUAUAAGGGCACAGACCUUUGCUGUUGGAUGUUGGCUGUCAGCUCCAGGGAGGCUGGGUCAUUGUAACCUCGUGUCAGCGAUGUCCAGUGCAUGACGCACAGCACUCCACAGAUAGAGCUUACGCGUUUAUUCAAAAAUAUUAUGUCUAAAUCUUUUCUAACUGAGAAUGUUUACCUUCUUCUAAGGACUAUGAUAGGAGUUUUCAUCAUUUAAACAAUUAAAAACCCUGUUUCUUCCGUCUCUUACACCUGGUACUCUUUUCUAAAUGUUCAAAUUGGCGUAAAUCUCCACCACAAAGGUACGCAUAGAUUGGUGCAGUUCUUUGUGAGAAAUCCUCAGUAGGUAGCUUCAGGGAAUGUAGCCACCCAGCAUCACCCCUGCCCUUCCCAGAAGUUUGAGUUUGUGUAUGUGUGGGCGUAACAUAGGGCGGAUCAGCUAUUAAAGAAUUAAUUAUGAAAUUCAGUAAAGAAGUAUUCUAUCAUCCACUUUACACUCCGUGUGUAAUCUCACAGACACUAAUAAUUUCUCAGGGAGUCGAGUCCAUGAAGCUCGUUCGUGUCACCUAACACCACUGAAGUCUUAGUUCUUUUCCCCAAUCCGCUUCAGUGCCGGCUUCUGUGUUCAGCUUCUUAGAUGUCUUCACUACAUGGACCAAAUUUGGAUGAAGCUAGAGAAAAACUCUUUAGUUCAGUCGGUUCCACUGUGGGUCAAUGGUCAUCUUGGAGGUUUGCUAACCUCGCCUCCAGGUGCAGAUUGCGAUUCCCCCACUUCUCACUUUAUGGGGAUCCAUGGCAGGUACAGUAGUUUUUCUUUGCUGGCCUGAUCACCCCGACCCCCAACCAGAGCCCUCUCUGGGGUGGAGGUAGUGGCCAGCUGGUGGUAGAGGCACAGACAUGGUCUGCUUUCUUCCUCAAUCCCUUGCUCGGAGUUCCUCCAUGACCUCCUUCAGAGCCUCUUAAAAGUUUUUUCACCUUCAGUCUUCCAAACCUCAGUGUAUUGCAACCUUCUACUGCAGCCCUAUUACAACGGUUCAGUAAAGUUCUAUAUUUUACCAGAUAAAGUCAGGAGAUGCAGGAUUCAGCAAGGAAAAAAGUAAAUUCUAGCUUUAAGAGGCAAAGAGAAAGGAAGCUUACCAUAAUUAUUCCUGUUAUCUUCUCUACCCCAUUAAUAUUCCUCUUGAGUGUUGAAGAUGCCAUUUUGUUUUCUAGGAUCUCCCAUGCAGGGCUUCUGUACAUAGUAACAGCAAGGGCGUUUCUAAAGCUGAAAUCCUGUAGAAUAAAUAAAAGCAAUUGAAACAAUCUGAAUGGUCUUUUGUGAAAAGAAAACUACAAAUAAUUAUCUACCAUGGCAAAGCAACAGCUAUGAAGCUGGGCUUUCUCCUGAGGUUUAAGGCUGAAAGUCAACUUUCAGCAGGUCCCUGAAUGUGCGCAGAAAAGCUGCAAACAUUAGAGGUGGUGAUAGUUCCAGCACAGUCUUACACCGAGACCCACUGAUUCUCGCCUGCGAGGACUCUGAGGGCCCUGAAAUACGGAAGCUUAACAGCCUUCGUCGCCAUGGGAUUGUCACGCUCAUUUCCUUUUCUGCAGUUUUUCUAGGCUCUCCUCCGUCAGCACCUACUCAGGGAUGUUAUCUAUUUUUAUGGUUUCACCUAUGAUCUGUGUGUUGAAGAGACCCAAACCUACAUUUCACAGCCCUAGUCUCGUCUCUGUGCUUCAGACUCACGUGUCCAUGUGCCUGCUGAUCAAGUUCUAGACGUGGAUGCUCUCCGUCUUGAGUUGAAAGUGUCUGACAUCUUUCUGUUCUGACUUGUGAUGUGCAUUUUAGGUUCAAAAUUAAAUUGGACACGACCCAAGAUGGAUGUCUCUUACUAUGCUCGAAUCUAUCCCAUGUUCAGUAGAACAUACGCACACACAUGUACUCUGCAAAUACUAUUUCAACAAAUGGAUGGUUACAUGAUGAUGACUAAUUAUAACCUAUCGGCGUCUGCACGGCACUCUGAUAAUCACAGUGCAAAAUGCCCAGUCUUCAAUGAGAGGCAUAAAUUAUCGGUUGAGGCAUAAUCUAUGCAGCCAUAUUGAAGAGCCUUGAAGCUUGGCACUGCCAUGUCCUAGCACUGUGAUCUUGAGCAAGUUAGUAAACUUCUCAGUGUCUCUGUUUCCUCAUUUGUAAAAUAGGAUAAUAAACGUGCCUAUCUCUUAGGCCAGUUGUUCAAAAUAAGGAGUUACUAUAUGUAAAAUAUUCACACAAGUGUCUUGCAAGUGAUAAAUGCUACAGAAGGCUUAACUAUUAUUUAAUUCCUACAGUCUUAAAAUGUGUAACAUCAUCCUCAUCUUAAGGAUGAGUAAACAGACUCAAAGAGAUCAAGAAUCUGGCCUAGGAUCUUGCAGCUAGGAAGUGAAAAUUCCCGAUAAAGCUAAUAGAAUCCCACCCCCAAAGCUAGUCCAGUUAUUUCCUCUCUGUUCUUUUCUUUCAACUUCUUACAGGAGCCUGAAACCCAGGACUCAUUCUGGAUUUUUUCCCCCCUCCACCUAGCUAAUUAUUCACCAAGCUUUAGCUAUUCAUGCUACGUGCUAAAUAUCUCCCUAUCUCUACAAAUAUUUCAGGAGUCUUCCUCAGCUUCUUCCUCCCCAGCCACUGCCUGAAGUCAGACCAUGUAAUUUCCUGCCUAGAUGAUUUAAAAGACUCCCUCUAGCCUUCCCUCCCAUCUAUUCUCCAUGUUGUUCCAGAGCCAUCUUCCAAACCCAAAUUUCAUCAUGCACUUCUUCCCUAAAAUCCUCGAGUAGCUCUGUAUUGGUUUCAAGAUGAAUUCCUGAGAGAAAGAAUUCCUAGGUAUUCAAGCACAACCCUCACUUUGGUAUGUUGUGCGUUAUACUGGGGCUUCAUCAUGUCGUUUGUGCCCACCGUUCCAGCGUCCUGUCUUGUUUUUCCAAAACUCAUACCUUGUACCGAAGCCUGACCAAAAUAUCUGUAUUUCCCCAGUGGUAUGUUUUCUUAGGGAUCUGUAUUUUGGAGGAAUGCCUUUGAAACAUUUGCCCUCUCCUCACUUCUUCACCUGGCCUUAUAUCUGUAACUUUCACGGGAGGUACCACUUCCUCCACCAACUGUCCUCUGACACUCUUCCCUGACCCACCAUCCUAUCUCCCCAC